rnacentral:rRNA from 1 species
UAGUCCUAGCCGUAAACGAUGGAUACUAAGUAUCGGGAACCCUGAUGUUCUCGGUGCCUGAGCUAAUGCAUUAAGUAUCCCGCCUGGGGAGUAUGGUCGCAAGGCUAAAACUCAAAGGAAUUGACGGGGGCUCACACAAGCGGUGGAGCAUGUUGUUCAAUUCGAAGCAACGCGAAGAACCUUACCAGGGUUUGACAUGUUAGAAGUAGAAACCCGAAAGGGUAACCAUUGGUAUCCAAUCCAAAACUAACACAGGUGCUGCAUGGCUGUCGUCAGCUCGUGUCGUGAGACGUUGGGUUAAGUCCCGUAACGAGCGAAACCCUUGUCGUCUGUUGCUACCAGGUAAUGCUGGGCACUCUGACGAGACUGCCGGUGUUAAACCGGAGGAAGGCGGGGACGACGUCAAGUCAUCAUGGUCCUUACACCCUGGGCUACAAACGUGCUACAAUGGUAGGUACAGAGAGACGCAAUACCGCGAGGUGGAGCUAAUCUUCAAAACCUGCCCCAGUUCGGA